UAUCAUGUGUGUUGCAGAGAGGAGCAGUUUGACUCCCUGGAGAACAGUGAGAGCACUGUAUAUCUGCCGGAUGGAUCAAGCUGUGCGAUCAGAGGCAUUGGGACGGUCAGCUGGAGGACACAUGACGGUGCAGUGAGGAGAUUGAGGGAGGUCUGAUACAUACCCUAUUUCAGACGGAAUCUUAUCUCACUUAGCAGACUGGAUUCGAGAGGCUACAGGACGGUAGCUGGUGGACGAAUCCUGAGGGUGCUACGCGGCGAUAGGAUUGUGCUGGAGGGGAAGAAGAGGAGCAGAGGACAUUAUUACCUGGCAGAGAGCCCA
rnacentral:lncRNA from 1 species